rnacentral:rRNA from 1 species
AUGGAAUCCUCGGAGGCGGUACCAACAGGCAAAGGUCGCAAUCAGGAAGCUCGUGAACUAUCACUGUGCCAGACGACGGAGGAGCUCAAGACAUGGAAUCUGAAUGAACGGCAGCAACAGUUAGUCGACGCCAGUGGGCUCGGAAAUCUGAAAUACAUGGGAGAUCUGGCCAUCAACCGCACUAUGCUCAGGGUAUUUUGCGAGCUUUGGAGCAAAGAAACAAACACAGCAAGGUUCCAUGACUUUGAAAUGGCACCAUCACUCAGGGACACUGCCUACAUACUGGGAAUUCCGAUCAUAGGCCGUGCGGUGACCACCGGGGCUGUGCUCAACAUGUCGUCAGAAGAGCUGCUCCUCCAAUACCUUGGCCGAGUUCCUGGUUCAAAGGACUGCAGGGGUAGCCGUGUGAAGCUCUCUUGGUUACACUCCAAGUUUAGUCAGCUCUCGGAGCAUCCCACUGAUAAAGAAAUUGCGUGCAAAACAAGAGCAUAUCUCUUGUACUUGAUUGGAGCAACCCUGUUUUCAGACAAAGACAAGGGCUAUGUCUCUCCAAAGUACUUACCACUCUUGUCGGACUUUGACAAGGUACGAGAGUACGCAUGGGGCACUGCUGCUCUUGCUCAUCUUUACAAGGCUCUCUCUGCAUUAGCGUCUUCUCACUCUAUUGCCAGAAAAAGACUAUUCGGCAGCGCCACUCUGCUCAUGGGGUGGAUAUAUGAAUAUAUUCCAGCGAUGCGCCCUGAAAUGGAGGAUGAUCCAGCACUUGUCGUCCCACGAGUAUGCAGGUGGGCCGGGCACGCAAUAUCCCAACCAGCAAAGGAAGCUUCAGAUAUCAGAAAAGCUUUCAGUCAGCUUCGAGUUUCAGAUGUGAACUGGGAACCUUACAAGGGUAUGGAUCCUGCAUCUAUUCCCAACAUCUGCUCGGCACCCGAUAGCAUCUGCUUCUCCAGAACAUGGCUGAUCAACUUUAACGUGAGGGAAGUAUAUCUCCCAGAUCGAUUUGCUCGUCAGUUUGGUCAAGAACAGCAUCCGGCCGGCGAUGUUGGUGGGUUCCAGCGACAUCAGUGGAACGCGUCAGUGGAUUGGAGCCUGGAGUAUGCAUCAGAGAUCAAACAUUUCGAGCAGUUGAUCAAUGCUACUCGUCCUGAUCAUACAGCAGUUGCUGCCACUUGUAAAACGACUGAGGAUGUUUUUACGCCAGCGAGCACGGCACGAGAAUUUCCUGGUCUCAAAUUGCUUGCAGUGGUGGAAAGCAUCAAGAAGGAGCUCCCAACCAUCACGCGAUUUCUGGAGCAACGGUCACUUCCCGUCGAGGUAGCCACGUCGUUUGCUCGGAUCCAUGAACUACUGGAGGAUUCUCACUUGAAGGAAGGAAAUGCCGCAGUGGAUGCUGGGGGCGAGGGGACCUCUGAGUUGACUGCACCGCACCCUCCUGCCAUUCCACCGCAUGGGCCUGUGCCUGAUGAAGCGGUGCAGAACGGCAGCGAUCAUCCUGCGCCGGAAUGCUGUGACAAGCCGACGGGGGAGGAGGAGGAGGAGGAGGGAGACGGCAAGGCGGGGGAAGAGGAGGCAUCGGAAGGGAGCGAGGACAGUGAGGAGGACGGAGGCCAUAAGGGGCGGAAGCGACCGCCGCUUCGGAGGAGCAAUCGAAGCUGCGUGCAGGCCAAGAGGUUCAAGAACCGGGGAGGGAAAGGGUCCCAAGCCUCUGACCCCAUCGUGCUGUGA